AUUGAACGCUGGCGGCAGGCCUAACACAUGCAAGUCGAGCGAGCGGCGGACGGGUGAGUAAUGUAUGGGGACUGCCCGAUAGAGGGGGAUAACUACUGGAAACGGUAGCUAAUACCGCAUACUAUCGGAUAACCCAUAUGGGAUUAGCUAGUAGGUGAGGUAAUGGCUCACAUAGGCGACGAUCCCUAGCUGGUCUGAGUGGAUGAACAGCCACCCAGGGACUGAGACACGGCACAGACUCCUACGGAGGAAGCAGUGGGGAAUAUUGCACAAUGGGCGCAAGCCUGAUGCAGCACUGACGCGUGUAUGAAGAAGGCCUUAGGGUUGUAAAGUACUUUCAGUCGGGAGGCGUUACCGACAGAAUAAGCACCGGCUAACUCCGUGCCAGCAGCCGCGGUAAUUC
rnacentral:rRNA from 1 species